rnacentral:rRNA from 1 species
GAUGAACGCUGGCGGCGUGCCUAAUACAUGCAAGUCGAGCGAACAGACGAGGAGCUUGCUCCUCUGACGUUAGCGGCGGACGGGUGAGUAACACGUGGAUAACCUACCUAUAAGACUGGGAUAACUUCGGGAAACCGGAGCUAAUACCGGAUAAUAUAUUGAACCGCAUGGUUCAAUAGUGAAAGACGGUUUUGCUGUCACUUAUAGAUGGAUCCGCGCCGCAUUAGCUAGUUGGUAAGGUAACGGCUUACCAAGGCAACGAUGCGUAGCCGACCUGAGAGGGUGAUCGGCCACACUGGAGCUGAGACACGGUCCAGACUCCUACGGGAGGCAGCAGUAGGGAAUCUUCCGCAAUGGGCGAAAGCCUGACGGACCAACGCCGCGUGAGUGAUGAAGGUCUUCGGAUCGUAAAACUCUGUUAUUAGGGAAGAACAAAUGUGUAAGUAACUAUGCACGUCUUGACGGUACCUAAUCAGAAAGCCACGGCUAACUACGUG